rnacentral:rRNA from 1 species
UACGGGGGGGGCAAGCGUUGUUCGGAAUUACUGGGCGUAAAGCGCACGCAGGCGGUCUUUUAAGUUUGACGUGAAAGCUCCCGGCUUAACUGGGAGAGGUCGUUGAAGACUGGAAGACUUGAGGCAAUGAGAGGGGUGUAGAAUUCCCGGUGUAGUGGUGGAAUGCGUAGAUAUCGGGGGGAAUACCAGUGGCGAAAGCGGCACCCUAGCGUUAGCCUGACGCUCAUGUGCGAAAGCGUGGGGAGCGAACGGG